rnacentral:lncRNA from 1 species
UUAUCUUUUAUUUUUUUGCAAUUUUGCCCCUAUUUCCACCGUUCUUUGCGCUGGAUGUCCUUUUCAUCAUUUUUGACGAUUUUACCCUUCUAUUUAAAUAAAACAAAAAGAAAAGAAAAGAAAAAUAAAGAAGUAAUUGCAACAAUAGUCCCAAAUUUUUUAAAAAUUACUAAUUGGUUACAAAUAUAUACUUAAAUAUCAAAACUACCAAAAAAAAAAAAUACCCACCACCCUCUGUGAAUGGAGCCACUAGCAUCUAGCGGUCCAUAAUCAAACCACCACCCACCGCCGCAUAAAUCAUCAGAAACUGCUUCCUUUACGGGCAAGUUUAAGCCAUAAACACUUCCUCAUCAAUCAAUUACACAAACAGAUUCUAUAACCAUCCAAAACUUAGAAGAAACUCUUAACUAGUUUGAGAAACCAGUUUGUUUCUUCCAUCAAUUUCGGCGUUGGUAAUUGGUCCCAUUGUUGCGGACCACCCAUUCCGGCAUCCUCUCCUAAUGCUCCAACUAUUACAACAAUGGGUCCUCAUCAAUUUCAACAUAAUAUACCGAUUUCACCAUGCCCAAAUUUAGUAUUCCCAUUUUUUGGCAAAUGGGUUGUUCUGUGCUCUAACUUGUCUGUUCGGAUUACACGGGAUGUCUAAAAGAUGGUGAAAAUUGGUUUAAGAGACCAGUAUUUGGAGGGUGAAUUACAGGCAAGUGUAGCCCUCCAAGCUGAAUCAUAAAGCCUGCUAGGGAAAGAAAAUUGGAAAUCCUUUUGGGGAUUAUUCUUUUUUUACAAGUCGGUGGCUGGGGCAGAAAAUUGGAGAGACAUUGCGUGGUUGUUUUUGGGGACCGAAUUGAGGAUAUUACACGCACAAAAACAUAAAAGUACGGAGAGAAAAUGGCUGCUGUGGGAGACUGGGGGAGCUGUUGAAAAGAUGGGGAAAAGACGGAAUCACGUAGUUGCCGGCAACUGGCAAGAUAGAAACGUAAGUUUUACAUUGACAUAAAAAAGAAGAAGCUAAAUUACAGAAGUUUCAUCUAGGCUUUCAUCUUUUCCGGCUAUCUUUGCAGCCAAGCUAUCCGGUGACAUCCCAAGAAUUAACUGCUGGAGUUAUUUUGUGAGGGAGAGGGUGGCAGUGGGGUGGGGGUGAGGUGUGGGAAGAAGGUGAAUAUUUUUGGGGGUUAUUUGCACUUCUAAAAGUUUGGGCCUAUAGUUACAAUUUAUUUUUUUAUUUUUCUUUUCUUUUCUCUUUUGUUUUAUUUAAAUAUGAGGGCAUAUUGGUCAUUUUGCAUUGAAAAUUGGUAAAAAGGAUGUCCAAUGCAAAGAAAUGUGUAAAUAGGGGCAACA